rnacentral:rRNA from 1 species
CCGCGUGGGUGAAGAAGGCUUCGGGUUGUAAAGCCCUUUUGUUGGGAAAGAAAUCCAGCCGGCUAAUACCUGGUUGGGAUGACGGUACCCAAAGAAUAAGCACCGGCUAACUUCGUGCCAGCAGCCGCGGUAAUACGAAGGGUGCAAGCGUUACUCGGAAUUACUGGGCGUAAAGCGUGCGUAGGUGGUCGUUUAAGUCCGUUGUGAAAGCCCUGGGCUCAACCUGGGAACUGCAGUGGAUACUGGGCGACUAGAGUGUGGUAGAGGGUAGCGGAAUUCCUGGUGUAGCAGUGAAAUGCGUAGAGAUCAGGAGGAACAUCCAUGGCGAAAGGCAGCUACCUGGACCAACACUGACACUGAGGCACGAAAGCGUGGGGAGCAAACAGGAUUAGAUACCCUGGUAGUCCACGCCCUAAACGAUGCGACUGGAUGUUGGGUGCAUUUGGCACGCAUAUCGAACUAACGCGUUAAGU